UUACAGUUGGCGUUUGCAAUAUGACUUUUUCUCGGCGAUAUAUGACCAUUUUGUGUCGAUUCGCCGUAAAACCCAACUCACUCACUCAUUUACUUUCCCACUUUCGGCCGCGUGACGUCAUCAAAUACCGCGAGACACGAGGUCAAAACAAAAUGUCAUCGGAAUAAGGACUCUCGCGGAAUUAGGACCAUGAACGAUAUAUCCAACAAAAGUUAUUUAUGUCCAAACUUGUAACAAAUUCUGUUGAAAAAAAAGUGUAUACUUUUUAAAUCCGAAUAUCUCCAGUUCGUAAAGACAUAGCGAUCUCAAAUUUUCAACAUAGUAUGCUCGAAGUAGAUCUAUGUGCUGUUGAUCGUGCUUAAAAUUUACGACAAAACAGGAUGGAUUUAAGUUUACAAGCGAUAGUGUCCUUUUGCAUGAUGUGCACGUGCUGCCGAUGGGAAAUAUACAUGUCUACCAAAACGUGUCUUGUCGCCCUCCUUAAUUGAAAAUACAUUACAAUUCAAAUCUGUGCUGUUAUAAAUUACCACGACUUAGUGGAACUCAACGAAUUGAUUGAAACAUUAACAAUACUUGUUGACAACGUCAUUUAUGUCAGCAGGAUGUUCGGGUACCACAGGAACAUUAUUAUUCGUAUUCGAUUUCAUUAAACUGGUUGUGUCGCUGAUCACCAAAUAUCCAGUAGACCUCGGGUGACAACCUCAUGAACGAACCGCAUCAUAACGUUGACGCAUAUGAGACAACGUUAUCAAACAGCAUCAAGUACAGCAAGGCAGUACGAUAUAAGCAAGUUCACAGUUUUGAGCCGUCUUUGGCAAGCUUGUUUGCCUAUUCGACCAAGGAGACAAUACGUCGGACCAAUACGGCCAGUGCAUUAUCGCUCUGUUUGUGUGCAGUGGGCACGAUAUCAUUUACGCUGGAGACAGGGGCAGUGGGCUAGGGUUCUCCCCUCCGACGAGUCCAGGUUCAAGCUGAGUCACUAUGAUGGCCGGGUUCGUGUUCAUGUGAAAAGGAACUCCAACUCGUGAGGUAAUUAUCACUUUCGUUUCGUUUCAGUCUGUGGACGGACUGUCAGGGGAGGUAUCUAGAGUCAGGCAUUGGGACUAGUGGAAAAGAGAAACGUUUUUAAAACAGUUGUGUGUUAGAAAGGGAUAAAUUUGUUGGAGGCAGCAUAAUGGUUUGGGGUGGAAUAAUGGGCACCAGGAAAACAAAUCUAGUUGUUGUAUAGCACAAUCAUAAUGCUCAAGAAUAUAUCGACCACAGUCUGCGGCCUGACGCAGUGCCAUUUUACAGCGACAUGGGCCUUCCAUUUUCAUGCACGACAAUACCAGGUCUCAUACAAAGCAUAUUACCCAACAGGCCCUCAACUAAAACGCCGUCUACAUGUUUUCCAGGCUUACCCUCUUGCAAGAUAUGAACCCUAUUGAGCAUAUCUGGGAUGGCCAUCAUCCAGGAUUAGGUCGAGAAACGGUAUUAGCAAUCUGAAUGGUCUUCAAAACGUUCUUACUUAAGAAUGGAAUAACGUUCCUCGUGACGUCAUUCGACGUUACUUUAGGUUCAUGCGCCGCCGCAUCAACGCUUGCAUCAAUAUUAGUGGUGUUCGAUCUCAAUAUUGAAACAAAAUUAUCUUUGAGAGAUGAAAACAAAAUCGAAAAACAGGCAGAUAUUUUUUUGAUAAUCUGAUAAGAAAAAGAUUAAAAAAUGAGCCAUCAACAUUCGAAAUAGAUAAAUAAUAGUAAUAAAAUGAAGCAUAAAGGGGAAUGACACAUACAUACCAAUACAAAAUGUGAAGGAUGUAGAUCUAUAUACAAAAUACGAAGGAUUUUGGGGAUUUACCUAUUACAGAAACAGUGAUAUUUAGGGAGAUUUUUUCUCUCUCAAGUACUAUAUAAGUACGUUUAUAUGAGUACGUUGAUAUAUCGAACUCGACAAUAGAAUGAAAGCUAAAAAGUCUGUGAGGUAGAGAUUUAUAUUCAAAACAGACGUUUUCUACACAAGUAAUCAUGGCUUCUCACUUGAACAGAAGUAGUUCUUUUAACCAGACUAACAGACCUGUUACAGGCUCGUCAUUAGCUAGAAGCCUUUCGUACAGCGCCACUUGCAGCAACGAUUCAUAUUCCUUACAAUUUAGUUCUGAUAAUGCGCUGAAAAAUGCUACACGAGUACAAUUUUGUUUAUUAGAUGCAAAUGCGCAAAUUGAUAAAUUUAUAAAGGAAUAUGUAAGUAUCUAAAUGACACUAUAUAUAUAAAACAUUUAAUAUAUAUAUAUACAUAGAUAAAUUUUCAGUAAAUACAUUUCAAAAGCAAAUAAACUUUUAUAUGAUAUUUCCAUCCGUUCCAAAAUUGUUUUAUCAUAUAAUGCCCUUUCUGUAAUUUACAGCUGCUGAACUGGGACUUAUGGAACACAGCAGUUGUUAUAAGAUACUGUGAUGCCGAGAAAAGGUUACCAAGCAUAGCGGCCCGACUGGACAAGAAUAAAUUGGAGAGCUUGCUAUUGGUCAAGAAUAUUCUAACAACCAUGGGAGACAAUCUUGUGAAAUCCUUGAAGCCAUCCGCACAGACAGACAAACAGCUUUCAUCAUAUCUUGAACGAGCAGAACAUGCUACUGGAAAUGCAAUGCUUUUGUGUGUGACCGGUACACCUGACUUCCGUUUCGAAAAGUCUGAACAAAAAGAUCUGUAUUCCUCCAAUGAUAUAAUGUCAGCUGCAAUGAUUAUACAACGAUACUUGGCAGAUGUUACAGAUGGAAUAGGAAAAUAAGUAAACUUAAAACUAUGAGGUCGAUAAUAUAAUUAUAUUCAUAAUAAUAUACAACUGUAGACUUUACAGCUUUAGAGUAUGAUAUGACCUGGAUCAGAAUAAAAUAAUACUGACAGAGA
rnacentral:lncRNA from 1 species